UGGCUGUCACAUAUUGUUGAACUGAUCGAUUAAUUCCAGCCGGAAGAGACAGUGGCAUUCUGAACUAACCCCUAAUUUAACUGAUGAAAACUAAGGGUCAGAAAGGUGAUGAGUUUAGUUCAAAGUCACAUAGCUAGUUAAAGGAUCAUCAGAGACAAGAAUUCAAUAUUCCUGAACUGAGGAGGAAAAAAAAUGUUCUUAUGCCUGAAAAAGUAGAUUGGCUGUUAGUGAUUCUCCUAAUUAAUUAGAAGACUGUUAUCAUACAGAAGAGGGUGAUAUUCUAACAAUUGCCGGAAAUAGAACAUUUCUUCCUAUCAUGCUUUGCCUAGAGACGGUUCAAGCAAGAAUAGCCAGUGAAUUGAAGAAGUAGGGAAUGGAGAGGAUAGAAAGAAACCUUCACAAAUAUAUUGUCAAAAAGUUUAGUUUAACUCAGUGUUUGGCAGAAGCACCUAGAGAUGUCAGCCUCCCAGUGCAUCAGUGGUAUUUGUUAGUGCCUUUAUCCUGUGGGCCUUAGGUUAUGGCCAGGGGAGGAAACCAGAGAGAGAGAACACAGUGCUGAAGAGAGUGAACACCCACUUACAUUAACAGGUUUAGUUCCACACAGCUCCUUCGACUGGAAAUUGUUAGACCUGGGGCUUAGCCUGCCUUCAUCACUAUCUAACUGUGCAGACCUCUUUAGACCUUAGUUUCCUCAUCAGGACUGAAUGAGCAAUGAACACUACUGACAUUACCACAUUCUGAGUGCCAUGAGGAUGUGGCAUAAAGGCAUAAUUAAAUUCAGUUGAGGUUAAUCUAGAAUUGUCCAUCCUGCCCUCCUCUUCUGCCUUUUACUGACAAAUGGAUGUAAACCUGAAAUUCAUUUUGUUUCUAGAAUGCCUGGGAUGUUGAAAUUAUUCACAUUUUAAUCGGCUUUUAACAAGAAUAGGUAAGAAAAAAAAUUAGGACAAUUAAGAAAUAAUGAAGCCAUUAUAAAAACAGUAAUGAUUUAAAAGCAGGUAAGGGAAUACUCGUAUCGGAAAUGUUGAAUACCUGCAAAUGAACAGUCAUAUGACAAGCACACCAUGGGAUUAGGGAUUUCACUAAUGCACAAAUGGAACCAUUUAUAAUAAUUUCUUCCCAAAACUGAGGAUAAUGCAAAUGUCCUGAUUAUUCCUGGAAAUAUAUAUCCUCUUGAAAAUUGACCAUGCUGCACAAUGUUGGAUAUUAGGUCUGAAGAUGUUAUCAGUGCUUUGCACAAAUUUAUUCUUUUUUCAAAGAUAGCAGCAUCCUAGUUUCUUUCUUAUAAGUCAAAAGACUUUACUGAAAACUACCACAACCAAACUUGUUUUCUUCAAAAAAAAAAAAAAAAUCACAGAUAUGCAGUUCUGGUGUGACACUAACAGUUGUCAUAACCCUAAAUCUCUGGCGCUGCUCACUGAGAGACCAGUGUGAAUGUCUCUGGCCAGGCAGCUCACUUGGGAGCACCUCUUCCUAGCAGUGAGACACGGAUUUGGGCCCUCCAUCCUGAGGAUACUCUGUCUUCUAGGGUCUCAGAAUAUCCUACUUCCAGCCCAAGGACAGUGAGAAGCAAAGCUUGGAAGAUUGCACAGAAGGUUUAAUGGCCUGGUAGUGGCCAGCAUAGCUUCUACCCACAUUCUGUUGGCCAAAACUCGGUCUCAUGGUCCCACUUUGAUACCCUAGGCACAGGAAGAACAGUUCAGCUGUGUGUUCAGGAAGAAGGAAGGCAAAAGGAAUUCUCUUCAAGGAUUUUCAUGUGGGAAAUCAUCUCUACUCAUCUUGGCUGAAUGAAACCAGAACCUUUGACAGGAAGAGGGAGUGACAGCUUAUACAGAAACAAAGAGAAUGUUUCCUCAAGUGCCACUAAGUCUAGAAGGGGCUGUUCGAAAGAUAGGUAGGGAAAUCGUGCUUCCCUGUGUGAGAUAUCCUCUAUGCCACACAUUUCAGGACCUCUGAUUCUGAAGGAGGGUGGGAAGGUAGACAGAGAAAGGAUAGAAAACCCAGGAACGGUCUCAAAGGAAGCCACACUAUCCCUCGGCUGAGUGCUGAGGAAUGGCUGACUAGGCCUCAUAGGCUGCUUGGUAGAUAAAGAAUAGGGGUAGGGGUGUGAUCAGGGUAAGGGAAGGAAUCCCCAGCACACCACUACCCAGUCUCUCUUUUCCAACUUCUUCUCUUUUUCUUUUCUUUUCCUUUCUUUUUCUUUUCUUUUUUCUUUUUUUUUUUUUAGACAAGAGUCUCAGUCUGUCACCCAGGCUGGAGUACAGUGCUGCAAUCUCCACUCACUGCACCCUCCACCUCCCAGGUUCAAGUGAUUCUCCUGCCUCAGCCUCCCGAGUAGCUGGGACUACAAGUGUGCACCACCACACCCAGCUAAUUUUUUGUAUUUUUAGUAGAGACGAGGUUUCACCAUGUUAGCCAGGAUGGUCUCGAUUUCCUGACCUCAUGAUCCGCCUGCCUCUGCCUCCCAAAGUGCUGGGAUUACAAGCAUGAGCCACUGCGCCCAGCCCCACCUUCUUUUAAUUUUCUACCAAUCUCUUUCCUCCUCACUGUCAAUCUCUCUGUUAGUCUCUCUCUCUAACUCUCUGUAUCCUUAAACCACACACACACACACACACACACACACACACACACACACACACACAGAGAGAGAGAGAGAGAGAGAGAGAGAGAGAGAGAGAGAGAGAGAGAGACAGGCACUAUCAGAACCCAGAAACAUACAGACAUGAAACAAAUGGAACUGAAAGAAAUCCAACACCACAAACCCCUGGUAAUGAUAAUAAUGAAGAAACGCUGCUGCCAGAUGCAUCUUGUGAUGAUGCCAAUGAUCUAAUUCUCUUAUUAUCAAAAGAUGCAGGUAAAGGCAGCCUUGACAGAAGGCGUUAAAAAAUCAGAAGAGCACAGCAUCACUGAAACUGCGUUGUCUGAUUUAUACCUUUCCAAAGACCAGGCUUCUGUAAUAGGCUGAUAAUAGCCUCUAGCCAUCAAAACAUUAUUUUAUCUGGUAUCUUGAUUUUUAAAAAUUGUGGAAACUAGCAAAUGGAACUGGGUUAUUUAUGUAGUGUUUGAAACUAUGUUAGUCCACUAGGAGAAAAUGACUACAAGCACACAACAAAAGUCAAAACCCAGACUGGAUAAUAAUAUAAUGAAAAGCAGCAGCCUCAGUGUGGUACCAUGGCCAACAAUGUAAAAUGUAAUUUCCAAAUUAGAAUGGACAUUUGUCUUUCAUAAUUAAUAAAACUUUGAAAGAGGGAUAGGUUAGCAUGUGGUUGCCCACCAGACGAGACCACUACCCACUAGUACUUGGGCACAGCCAGAAUUCAAAGCCAUCACUGCCAGCAGAUGAAGACUCCUGCUAAAGAAGGAUCCACAUCAGAAAAUAGCCCCAUCUUUUUUUUUCUUUCUAAACAAGGUCUCGCUCUGUUCUCCAGGCUGGAGUGCAGUGGUACAACCAUGGCUCACUGCAGCCUGAACCUCCUAGGCUCAAGUGAUCCUCCCACCUUAGACUCCAAUUAGCUGGGACUACAGGCAUGCACCACCACACCUGGCUGAUUUUUUUUUUUUUUUUUUUUUUUUUUUUUUUGUAGAGAUGAGGUCUCACUAUGUUGCCAGGUCUGGUCUCAAACUCCUGGACUUGAGUAAUCCUACUGCUUCAGCCUCCCAAAGUCCUGGGAUUACAGGCAAGAGCCACCAUGCCUGGCCUGCCCCAUCUAUUGAGUUAUGCAGGGGAUGUGAGGGUCUCCUUGACGCACACAACACAAAACUUAAAAAAAAAAAGUUUUAAAAAGUUUAAGUAAUUGAACAUAAAAACUCCCCAGAAGCAUGACCUAAUCGUUUCAUAUUUCAUGCAAUUUAAAGCAGACAUCAUUUUCCUUAAAUGACUAGACAUUAAUCAAAUGGACCUCCACACUUGAGAAGAUAAAUGCCAACCAAAGAAAAGGAAGCCUUCGGUAUAUUUACCUUUCCUUUUAAAGCACAGAUAUGAGAAAUGAAUGAGAUUUUUGACCAUUUAUCAUGCACAGAGACCAACUGUCUCUCAGAAAUUUUUAUGUCAAACCACACCUGGCCAUACAUGUUUGUCUCGAUUCACAAGCUCUAAAUAUCAUAUUGCAACAUUGUGGGAGAGAAGCCAAAAGUACUGUGCUUAAAACUCCUUUGUCUUAAAUAAGCUGUGAUACUUAAAAAAGCUGCCUUGAUGUUCCAAAACUAUGGAUAAUGUGUUAUUUAUUUAGUGUUUUAAACAUAUUAUUUAGUGAGAUUAUGGCAGUACAUUGACCUUCCUAAUGAGGUUUGACUAAAGCCAAUAUUAAAAUCAAUGUGCCCUCCCUUGCUCCCAGUGACAGAGUAUAAAAGGAGCUGGCUUAGAAGGAUCUUGUGGGCUGUGAGAAAUCAGAAUGGCAUUUAAAAAUUGGCCAUAGACAAUCCAUAUGCAGAUGAUCAAUAUGACUUCAUCACUGUUAGGAUUCCAGGAACCAUCUUUUCAGAACAGGCUCAGUGCUCAAUGACCAGAAUCUAUUGGUAGGAAAUAUUGAUUACAGUGGUUAUAGUUUAUGCAAACGCAAGGAGAGUGUGUAAAAGAUCCUGAAAGUGGUUUUAAGUGGAAAGACCCAUGCCACAUGCAUCAGAACUACAUAGUCAUUGGAAACCACUGCAGCAUAGUAAUAAUGCUUAGAACUGACAGUCCUGCAGCGUUUCUACAUUCUCCUCUAGAGCCUGCAUGUUUUCCAGCCUCACAUGCAUUUUUAAGCAGUUAUUAGGAUGCCUACUUGUUAACUGAUCUCAAAUAAAUCUUAAUUCCCAUUCCCAGGCAUCAUAGAACCACAUCCAAAUGCCCCCUUCCCCUGACUGCACAGCCAGUUUAGGCCGAUGGUGAUGUAGGUGAAGUCAACACCAUUUCUACAUUUCUCUCUCCCAACUUCCUCAUAUUUUACCCUUCAUUUUCCUCCUCUUUAGGGUUAAAAUUAUUAACAAAAGCUGAAAGUAUAGCCUCUCCCUCUGAUAAUGCCAAGGUAGAUUUCAGAGCAUGGCCUCAAUAAGCCUGCGGUCCAUUUACAUAUGCUUGUCUGCUCACUUCACAGCUGUGUGACUUUGAGCGAGUCAUUUUACUUUUCUAAGACAUCACUUCUCAGCUGAAAAAGUGGCAAUACAGAUGUAAUGAAAUUACAUUCACCAAGCUCGUAACACCAAGAGGCACGUCUCUGUAAUAGAAAGUACAUAGGUGAAACAGCGUUCUCCUCAUCAUUCUAAGUCUGUAGAUUUGAGAACUAUGAGCUCAUUUGUUCAAUAUAAUCAGACUGGAUAUUCAAGAUCCAAAGGGUAUUCAAGAGGUCAAAUUACCCACUUCAUCCUCUGAGUUGCUAUAUUUACAUUGGCUGCCUAUUCCACUGCCUCCCAAACAGGAUGAUUUUGUUCUUAAAUCUACUUUGGUAAAAUUCCCUGGCCAUGUUCUCUGAGCAGAUGAUUACAGAUGCUCUCCUCUUUGUAUUUGAAUUCCCAGCCCAAGUGGAUGAGACAAGCAGGACAGAGGAGCAAAGGACUAGAUAAGCAAAAGCAAGGACUGACUUUCCGGAGAAACUGCCUAACUUCCAUUUCACAUUUAAGAUGCCAAAAUAGUUCCUCAAGUAUGCAUGCCAAUGGCAGUGCUGCCCUUGAACAUGUUCUCCCGGCUCCCAUCUGAGUCAGUGUAAUGAGUCUGCAUUUUAUGAGAGUUGAGCCUGGUCCAAAUGGAACCAUGUAACUGUUAGAAAGAUUAAUGGACUGUAUCAUCCAACAGUUGACUGUAAACUUCUAAUUGUGUGAAUCUCAGUGUGGUGUCUAGAGCUAAACUGGCGCCUGCUUCCUCGGUCACUAAUAUCCGCUGAUAUUGUUCAUUAUUUUUCUAAUGCCAACCCUAGGUACAUCAGUUCUGGGCAGAUCCCUGAGGAAAACAACAACUUUUGUUGUAGGUACUUGAGAGCAGUCAUUAUCACUGUUGCCAAUUAAUUCAUCAAUCGGUGUUUACAGAGCUGCCACUGAGAAAGGGGAGCAGCACUGUGCCCUGCCGAGCAAUAGAAGGGUGGAGGAGUCCCUGAGACAAAGGCUCCACUCUAGGGGAGCUGAGUAGCGGAGAAGCCAUAAACAGAAGCUAAGUGAUGUCCUUCCUGCUCUGGGCUGCUGGACACCAGGCAAGUCACUUACCCCUCCGAGCCUUAAACCUGGAAACAGGACAGCAGCCAGACCCUACUCAAGGAACAACCAACAAAACCUAUGUGAACAUGCUUUGAAAAACAUUAAGCUUGGCCGGGCAUGGUGGCUCACGCCUGUAAUCCCAACACUUUGGGAGGCCGAGGCGGGUGGAUCAUCUGAGGUCAGGAGUUUGACACCAGCCUGGCCAACAUGGUGAAACCCAUCUCUACUAAAAGUACAAAAUUAGCCAGCUGUGGUGGUGCAAUGCAUGUAAUCUCAGCUGCUUGGGAGGCUGAAACAGGAGAAUCGCUUGAACCCGGGAGGUGGAGGUUGCAGUGCGCCAAGAUUGCGCCAUUGCACUCCAGCCUGGGCAACAAGAGCUAAACUCCAUCUCAAAACAAAACAAAACAAGAAAAGAAAAGAAAAACAUUAAGCUUGACAUAGAUGAAAUCAUUUAUCCUAGCCUAUAACAGAAAAUACAGAUCACGGAGAGCUAAGACUAAACCAGGUGACUUUGGUUUGCCUGUACCCAUUUUCUUUCUUAUAAAUUCAUGCCCUUCUCUUCCCGCAUUUUUAGAACAUUCUUAGUAAUUUCUCCACAUAAGCAACCCUGAUUUUUUUUUCAGCUUUGAAAUUGUCUGCAGGGGCUUCUUUAAGCUGCACUUGCUUUGUCCUCUACAAAACCACAUUCUGUUAAAAGAACCAUCAAGCACGGACCAUGGCUAGGGUCAGAGAGAGCUAGAAGUCCUCUCUAGCUCUACCCAUCUGCUCCUUCCCCUACUCUCUUUUUUUCCUGAUCCCUUCUGCUUCCUCUGGACAGGAAACACAUAGCCUCAGCCAUAUGAUGCCUCUCCAUCCUACAGGAAGCUGGAGCACCAAGCUGAGAUCACAAGUGCUGGGGCCUUCAUCGCAGGCACCUAAUUGUUUAAGUAGCUUUUGAUCACUUUGCAAAAAUAUCCCUCUCUCCUUCUUUGUAGCUGCAUUGAAUGAACAUAUCCCCUUAUGUUUUAAAGAGUCCUUUCUUUGCAGGAAAUGAAGGGGAGAGGAAUAUUAGUUAUCUGUAUUGCUAGGUGUAUUGUGAAACUCUGGAUGGCAUAAUACUUGGCAAACAGGACUGCAAGUCUCUGAAGUUAAUCAAGUUGUUGAGGUUUUCAGGAUCCAAUUAUUGGCAGAAUUUCCCCACACUCCUAAUGCCAAUUUAGAUGUCUACAUGUCUAGGGAACAGUAAAUAUAAAACAUGAAACUGCAGCGUUAAGAAAGAAUUGUGGCUGCAGUCCUGUCUAACCAGCGUGCUCCCUAUUCUCAAAACUUCCCUUUGACUAGAUGGGGAACAAUAAAUAUAUAUGCCCUCCUCAGUCCUGGAAAGAGCCACCUUGCUGUUUUCCAAAAGGAGAUCAUGACCUAUAACAGAAAAUAUAGGUCAUGUAGAGGUAAGACUACACAAGGUUAUUUGGGUUUGCUUGUACCCAUUUUUUUCUUAUAAAUUCAUGCUCCUUUCUUCCAACAUUUUUAGAACAUUCUUAGUGGUUUCUCCACAUAAGCAAUCCUUACUUACACUUGCAUGCCAUAUCAUUGAUAACAACCAAAUUUAUAGUCUGUAGAUCAGAGACACAGGCUGAUUAGGAACAGAUUCAUUUGGAUUUCGAUCUGCACUUUGCAUGAUGGAAAAGCUAAAGCCUAUUGCAGCACUCUGUUUAGAUAUAACUCUGAUUCCAUGAACUGUCUCUAGUUGUUACAAUGAGGCCUAUAAAAGGGCAAUCCUAAAUAAGCCUGAAAAUAAUGUCUUGGCACAAGGUGCAGUAUCAGAUUUUACCAGCGAUACCUAUAAAGUUCUUUACCAGAAUAUAUAAAGGUAGUGUGCUAGCCAAGACUCCUUUUCAUUUCACUAAAAGAAUAAUGGCCAAGUUAGGAUGUUAAGACUUAUCAUCAAAUGUUUUCUGUUGCUUCCCCCAAGGAAAAGUAACAGUGUGAUUAUCUCAUCUUGCUAGAAUUACUCUGUUGUGUGAAUAGGGGAAGAAAGUUUGGGAAGGGGGAAAUUAAAGCAGGAAAAAUAAUGGAAGGCUAUGAACCCUAAUACUAAUUAAAUUAUGCCAUUAGAAAAUGUAAUUCUUCCUAAAAUCCAGACUAUGUAAUGUUGGUAGGUGAACAAAACUCCCUGGAUGCCAUGGAAUGAGGAGGAAAUGGCUAAAGCCCACAAGACCCAAAGAAAAGGGUCUGUGGAAUCUGAAGGCACUGGUGUUUUUCCUGUCAUCCUUAUGAGUCUAAAUUGUGGAGGAUAUGAACAAACAAAAAGCCCAAUGAGACUAUUUAUGAGGAGAAGCAAUAAAAUCCACCAGAUAAUGUAUGACAGAGAAGGGGAAAUGAACUUUCCCAAGUAGAGUAUAAUGUGCUCUUCAUGGGUGCAAUGCACAAGAUUAACGAUGCCACCCUCAGACUCCUCAGUGGCAUUUCAGGACCUUACAAUGCAGCUUCCUUUCAUUUCAUUGGGAUAUAAAUAAUUGAUAACUUGAAGGGACCUGAGAAACCCACUGCAACUGAACACAGAUAUUUUUUAUGACAUCAAUUACAGGGCUAGUGAUUUGAUGAGAAAAGGAAAAUAUCUCAAACUACACUUUAAUGAUCUCUACCAAGAACCCCUAGUGUUCCAAAUGAAAUGUGGGUCUCUGGGCCUGGAGUUCUUUUUCUCUCUCUCUCCAUUUUUCCUCCUCAGAGGGAAUAUAAGUUAUAGCUGAAUAGAAGAGAUGGUUAAUUAUUUUCAUGUCUGUACUUUGCAGUAGUGGGUUUUAGGCCUCCACAUUCUAAUACAGAAGGAAAGGCUUGAGAGAGUUGAGGCUCUGGGAGUUGCGGGGGCGGAGUUCUCUUGUGUGUGCCACAUCAGGGCCGCCUGUUACAUGACAGAGGUGUUGUGGAGUUAGGCCUGGCAACUAGAGCCAUGAUCAUAGUUGAGCUUGUCAUUUAUGGCAUUACAACACCAGGACAUGUUAAAAUGAUAUGGGAAGCAGUACCAUUAAGGCUGUUGAAAGGAAGUCAGAGUUCAAGUAUUUGUGCAUGAGGCACUUUAUGUGGUGACGACUUCUGAAUUUAUAGUUGUCAGGGCAGGAGUAGAUGUUGAUUUGGUCUGAGAACAGGUCUGUUCACGCUUGUUUCUGGUUGAUCGUGAAGUCCAGUUCAUUUUACUUUUUUCAUAGCAAAAUUCCUGCAAGGCUGCUACUGCUUUAUGGAAAAGGUUCAGAACCAUACCUGGAAGGUUAUCCAAAGACUCCAAAGAGGUAAGGCAGUGAGAGCUGUGCUAAAUCCUCAUUGUGCAUUGGUCCUAAGGGACAUGUGCUAUGAGGUCAUAUUGGGAUCAGGGCAGAGAGGGCAUGGGUAUGUGAUAGAAUGAAGGAGGUGGGAGGUAAAGGAGAUAUUUCAACCCAAUUCCAAGAACAAUAAAAUCUUAUUAGUCUAUGACCCAUUACAUACAUUUGAAUCCACCACAAGUCAAAAAAGAUGCCUUGAAAUAUCAUUACAGGGUACAGGAAGUCUCUCUGAAUUAGCUUUAAUAGGGGUUUGGGUGUGUUUCUCCACUGCCAAUAUCGUCAUUAUUGGAUUGCAUUUCUUUCUUUAUAGAGGCCUAAACAACCAAGGGGGGAACUUGAUCUGUUGGUUUAGAACUCCAGAGAUCUGCCAGACUGCUUACUCUUGUGUUGAAAAAGAUACUGGCUAGUUGUUAGGCCAUAAUAUUGAAGUCCUCAUACUUUAAAGCAAUGUAAUUCUAAGCUUCCAUGUCUUGUAAAUAGCUGUUGACUGACUUGUCUCAUAAGUAGGAUGGAAAGGAACAGAUAGUGGUUCAAUGAAAAGAAUUCAUUUUUUCCUUCCAGUUUUUUUAGGCAAAUACAUCCUUGUUCUCUAGUUUCAUUUCUUCACCAUUCCUCUGCACCUUCCUAAUAUUUAGUAUAAUCUAAUGAAGUCAAACAAGCUAUAGGAUGUAAGAUUUUCAAAAUGUCAGCAGCAAAGUACUUAUUGCGGUUUUCUUUUCUUAUGGCACCAGGAAAUAAUCAAUCUAUUUUUAUAAGUCUUCCAACCCAACUUUGUCUACUUAAGAAAAAUCAGUCUCACUCCAAAUGAGAUUUAUUGAAAUGUUCCUAAAAUGCCUCCUAUUUACCUAUCACAAGUGAAACAUUAUUCAAAAUGUGGAAGUGGUUUGUGGAGAUGGGUCUUUUCAAUUUAAGCCUGUAAGUACAGUUCAUAAUAAAAACCUGUCAAUGAAGUAGAUAUUUUAUCACACCUGUGUUCAUUUGGGACUGCUAAUUUAUCAUUAAUAAAGCAUUUGGCUAGAAAACGAUGUCCAUAUUUGAUGAUCUGGAAACUUCUUUCUCCCAUUUUUAUGCCACGAUAACUGCCCAGUCUUAUUGUUGCCCAUUAUAAAUGUGUAAAGUUUUAUGGACUAAGUAAUGUCAAAUGAGGCAGUGUCAAGCAGAUCUGGAGACAAGUUGGGAGCGUUUAGAUGGAAAAAGAAGCUGUGCGGUCUAUGCCAGUCUUGCUUGUAGUUUUAUUGUGUAUUGAUCCUUUUUUACACACUGAUUUAGCAUCCUGAAUUAUGAUGUGGUAUUUAAAUUUAAAUACCAAUUGAGAGCUCCUAUCUCAAAGGUUGCUGUAAGUCAUAGCCAUUUUUGACUGUGAUGGGCUCUGCUUCUCUGGAGUGGGUAUGUUAUUAGAAAUGCUUGUAAAAGACUUCAUGGCAGUUAACUAUGCAGUGGAGAAGAUGUGUGGAGCUUCAUAAGCUUCUAGGAAGCAAUGAGUAGAUUGGUAUAAAAAAAACAUUCACAAAAUCACAGUCUUGAAAGGAUCCUUUGGAGGUCAUUUGGUCCAGUCUGCUGUCUCUGGUCCAGUGCUGCAUUUAGAACAUUCCCUGGAAUCUUCAGAAAAGAGGUUCCAUAGACUUCCUUCCUUGGUAACAAAAUUUACCAUUCAACAAGCCUAUCACUCGGGUAAGCUUUCCCCAGCACCUCCACAAGCCCCUGCAGCUCACAUUCACUCCCAUUUCUCCCAGAUGAAGAGGCAUUGAAAUCCCAAGUGGUCUACCACAGGAAGAAGUAGAGUACAAUGUAAUGGUUAAGCUUUUUGAAAAUUAGGAGUCCAUAAAUUUGUAAUUAGAUAUAACACAUUCAACUCCAUGUGUUAUUUACAUAGCUUCUAUUUGUUGCAUGUGCACCAGGGCUAUUUUUGUGAGUAGAAUAUGCCUGAAUACUGUGCUAGAACUUCUUUUUUAGAAUCAGGCAAAUAGGAUUGGGUUCUAGAGUUUCUUUUAAAGAGGUGUCAGUUGCCAGUAUUGCAAAAUGGAUACUAUAUCCCUAUGACAUUUAAUGUUCAAAUAUAGGAAAAAAGGAAAGAGAAAGAGAAAGAAAGGAGGGAGAUAGGGAAGGAGAGAGGAAAAGGAGGAAGAAAUCUGUUUAAUGAUUUUAAGUCCAUGUGGAACUCACUCCCAGGAUUCUUGAGUCUGCUAUGAGGCCAUGCCAUGUCUCAUUGCCCAGCACUGGGGCAACGCAGGGAGAGGGAAGGGACAGACAAACAGCCAGUGGAACAUGGAUUGUUUUGUGUUCUCUGCAGACGAGAGGGAACGCUGCAUUGUUAGGGUGAUCCUCCAUCACUGGGUCUAGAUUCCAGGAGGGUAUGGGAGGAGGACGGAGGGGGUAGUGGAAGAAUGGAAUGUGAUUUCAUUCAUGGCAAUCUAAGAUGAUACCUUUCCAGCUCAUCUUUCCUUCCAAUGUCUUAUGACAAAUCUAUUAAUUCUCCCCUUACAGCAGUGAAAGAGCAAGAGACCCAAAGUAAGACCAGAACAUGGUUAAGGUGUGAGUUUUAUCUUUUUCAUUAUAAAAAUAUAUAGGUUGCAGAAAUGAAAUAAUUACAUGUGGAAUCUCCACUAAUCAAUACUAUUUAUAAAAAUGCAAUAAUUCAUCAGGCUUUAUAAAGAGUUAAACUUUGAACCUCUAACAAGUUAAAUAUAACUUUUUCUUGCAGUCAAAAUGACUAGUUCACCGCACCCUGUGUUUUACACAAUUAUCAUGUUUAACUUUCAUCCAGUGGGUUACACAGUUGUUCUCAAAGUGUGGUCCCUGGACCAGUGACAUAACCUGUGAACUUGUUAGAAAUGCAGAUUUCUAGACCCCAUCCCAGACCUACUGAAUCAGAAACUCUGGGGCUGGGAACAGCAAUCAUGUUUUCACAAGCCCUCUAGAUUAUUUGGAUGCACACUAUAGUUGAGAAUUACUGCGUUAAGGAGUAUUCCUAUUUUAGAGAUAAGAAAAAGGAUGUACAAAGAAUUUAAGCAAUUUUUCCAGCACCACACAGCUAGAAAGUAGUCAAGACUGCAUGACUCCAGAGCCCUUGUUCUUAACAUAGCACGUAGGUUUGCUAUGUGAUGAACCUCAGUUUACUUGGGAAUCCGAUGUCAAGAAUAUAGAUAAGUGAGAAAUAUACUAUGGAGAAAGAAUUUAGAUUUCAAAAAAAAAUUAACUUAGGACAUAUGGCUUUAAAUGUCUUGCUUGGCUGAAUUUUUGGCUAUAAAAUGUUUAAACUGAAAAAGUUAUGACUCAAAAUGUUAAAUUCAAUGCCAGGGAGGUGAAGAGGAAAAAAUGACUAGAAUCAGAAGCUCCAGAGAAUACCAGUUUCCUGCCCCUGUGAAGGGGACAGCCGUUCAAUUUCGUGCUAGCAGAACAGUGCUAGACCAAAAUGAUAUCUCAAAAGAAGCCAAGAAUCCAAAUUUUUGAGUGGAAUAUUACAAUUUUAAAACAUAAAAUUGUAUGUUAGUAUGGAUUCAUAAAUUGUGGGGAAAAAAACCUAUACGAAUUAAAAAUGAAACAGAAAUCACAUAGAUUUCACUUACAGAGUGCCAUUUUGCAACCUCUGGCUGAGAAAUCCUCGUAACAUUUUAUGAACCCAGAUUAAAAGACUGAAGGGAUAUAAGGUUGAUGGAAAAUACGUGGGGGAAAGACGUGGGAAAUUGAAUUCAUGGAACUAUGUUAAAUGAUCACUUUAUCAAACAUGUGCCUAAACCUGAUGGCUAUGCCAUCGUGGCCACUUUUAUUGAUUCAUGGCUUGCAACAGUGUUUCAUAAUAUCUCUAGGCUUGUACAAUCUUCACUGGGAUCGUGUGACUGCAGACCCUGGUUUCACGAGCAACUGUUUGAGUAAGUGUUGGAAAAUUGCCUUUUGCGGUGUAUGUCAAGUGUUUAUGUGGGCACCAUUUUAAAUUUUCAUUGAGAAAGCCACUCUCUGGACUGAAAAACAUUCAGAGGAAGCAGGUUUGGAAAGGUUACUGCAAAAUCCAUCUCAACUGCAAACAGAAGUGAUUUUAAUGCCUGUUAUUUUGGAAGCAGUUCAAAGUUGUUUUUUCCAUUGUAAAUAGCAUUAAAGUGCUCUUUGGAGGCAAGUAUUACUUUUUUCUUGGCCCACUGCACUUCAGUAAUGGUUCUUACACACUGAAGGCACAACAAUAAGACUCAGGAAGUUAUGUACAAUGUAUCAGGGACAGCAGGGGAGAAGUGGGAGGAGAGAGGAGGUCAUCUGGUAAGUAUAUAGAAGAGAAAUUUGGAGGUGGAGAUUCUGUGCAUGAGAAUACCAGCCAAGACAGGGAACAUCUGGAAAAUCUGCUCUGUAUUAUGUGGUCAUUCCACAAACUUUUCCAAGGAAUCACAUAAGGAGAAUAUUACAUUUUAAUUAGAGCUGGGAUUGCUCCAGAGAAAAGAGGAAAAAGGAGGGUGGCUUGGUGAACAAGCUGCCUUUUAGUUUGGCUGAGUCCAUGAAUUGCAAUUAACCACUUAGCUGCCUCUUGAUGCAUGCUGCAUUUCCAAUAGCUCAGUGAUGUAGGAGAAUAUCACAUUGGGCUCCUGCCCAGCCCUAACCUGAGAAAGGAGAGCAGAAGCAACGGCAUAUCUUCUCCAGACAGCAUUUCGCACUUGCAUAUCAGCUGCAGCCUUUCCAAAAGUUGGGGAAAUCCUGCAAAUAAGGAACAUGGCAUCUGAUUCUUGGAAUAACAUUCUCUCUACACUCUUCCAGCUGCUGUGGAUACAUGUAAUGACUGAUUUUAUUUAAUAAGAAAGCUCAAAAUAUUUCCCAAUUCAGAACAUAACCCUGCAUGCUGCUCCCUCUAGUCUAACCAGAAAUCCCAUUCUCCUCCUCCUCUAACUCAAUAAACCAAAUCUAAUUGGAGAAUAAUUAUAAAAUACACUGAUGUGCAAUUUGUUUCACUUGCUCAAUAAUUAAUUAAUACACUACUUAUGAUUCAGAAGAGCUCUUAAGACACAGCACAAAUUCCACUGGAUGAAGGAGAAUACCAAAGAUAUAAGCCAGGGGCAGCAUCUUUACAUAAGAUGGGCCAAGAGAAAAAGAUAAGAGGGAAAAGAAGACAAAAUCUAUUUGGGCUUUUUGAAUCUAUGACGGAAUUUGUUUUUCCCCAUUUGAGGAUUCUCCUCUUGCCCUUUUCUACAAGUGAGGUAGAUUAUGUGUUUUGUUGAUGAAUUAUCAGCAAUACUCACACAGCUGAAUCAAGCUAACAGAUGGACUUUUUUAUUUUUAAACUUUCUAACCAUCAGAUGCUUUCAGGAGAGAAAACAGUCCUAAUCAAUGAAAUCCAGCUCCUAUAAACUCUUAGUUGAUUUGAGUAUAUACAUCCUAUGCUCAUUUGGGCAAUAUACUACUCCUAGCCCCUUUUGCCUUCAUACAAUUGAAUCUUGCAGUAGGAAAUGCCUUAGAUUUUUCCUUCAUUGUUUCAAAUGUGCAGUGCUUAUAAAUUGCUCUAAAGAUUUCAUGUAAAAUAAUUAUAAAGCUAUCUUCUUUUUCCUUUUGGAGACAUGAGAAUUAAAGUUAAAUUGAUUUCUUU
rnacentral:lncRNA from 1 species